GACUCUCGGCAACGGAUAUCUCGGCUCUCGCAUCGAUGAAGAACGUAGCGAAAUGCGAUACCUGGUGUGAAUUGCAGAAUCCCGCGAACCAUCGAGUCUUUGAACGCAAGUUGCGCCCAAGGCCAUUCGGCCGAGGGCACGCCUGCCUGGGCGUCA
rnacentral:rRNA from 1 species